rnacentral:tRNA from 1 species
UCCCUGGUGGUCGAGUGGUUAAGACUCCACACUCCAAGUAGAGGGGGCCCAGGUUCGAGCCCUGCUCAGGGAA